rnacentral:pre_miRNA from 1 species
AUACUUAAAACUUCACUAACUGUUAUUCUGAGAUUCACAUUUCCAAUCUUUGAAUAGCAUAUGGGUCUUUGAGCCCAGUCCGCCACUGCUAUUCAAAGAUUGGAAAUGUGAAUCUCAGAGUAGCAGUUAGUGAAGUUUCGUUU